rnacentral:tRNA from 1 species
CAGAAAAUAGUUUAUAUUAAUUAAAACAUUAAAUUUGGGGUUUAAAGAAAUAGUUUCUGA